rnacentral:tRNA from 1 species
GCCUUCGUGGUGUAGUGGUCAGCACGCUCGACGCGCAACCGAGUAGGUCCGUGGUUCGAUUCCCGGCGAAGCCG